rnacentral:rRNA from 1 species
UACGUAGGCAGCGAGCGUUGUUCGGAAUUACUGGGCGGAAAGAGUGUGUAGGCGGUGCUCCCAGUCUGUUGUGAAAUCUCCCGGCUUAACUGGGAGGGUGCAGCGGAAACUAGAGUGCUAGAGGGUGGGAGAGGUAAGCGGAAUUCCUGGUGUAGCGGUGAAAUGCGUAGAUAUCAGGAGGAACACCUGUGGUGUAGACAGCUUACUGGACCACUUCUGACGCUGAGACACGCAAGCGUGGGUAGCAAACAGG